GAAAAAUGCACAGUGUGAGCAUCGUGCGAAUGUUGAGGGUUUUUUGAAGCGUCAUCUGAAGGCUUUAAUCCAUUAUAUGGUCCCAGUGAACACUGCUGGCAUCCAUCAUUCUGCUUGGCUCUAUUUACCAUCUAUACCUGGUUCCAGGAAACGUUUUAACAGAUAUGAGGAGAAGAGGAGGAAGCUUGUAACAACAGCUUUCUACUUUGCAGGAUACCAAAGGAAUGCACGUGUGUAAGAAUGAAAGGCAAGUACUACAAGUGGAUCGGAAACAGCUUUAUUUUGUGACAGGUGGUUUUUGUAUCCUGCAGAUGGAGCAGCUACAGUGGGGUAAGAAUGAGGCAUGUUUUGGGUGGCUGGGAAUCAUAGAAUCAUGGAAUGGCCUCGGAUGAAAAGGACCACAAUGAUCAUCGAGUUCCAACCCCCUGCUAUGUGCAGGGUUGCCAACCACCAGACCAGGCUGCCCAGAGCCACAUCCAGCCUGGCCUUGAGAGACCCAGUACAGCACAAGGAGCAUCCAAAUUGGGUACAAAUUAGGAGAAAUUCAAGUGUUUUCUGAAAUGUGUGUUUGCUGUGAAACGUGGCUGAUGUUGAGGGGCUGUCCGUGGCAGUGUCAAGACAGGAGAAUUCAUCAAGAGAGAGCAAGCUGCAGCAUUCAGAACUGUGAAAAUUGUAAAAUCUCCCGUGUCUUGCACUAGUAGAGAUAGAAGUAUGUGGAGAAGUCCUUUGGCUUUGGAGGGCUCUGUGAAUCAUCUCAUGCUGGGAAGGGCUUGUGUUCCUGCAGUUACGUUUGUUACUCCCUUGCCCAGUGACCUACGAAACCCUUCUUGGUCCUUGUGCAUUGGAUGGAAGAAGAAAUUCAAAAUUACUUCAAAGCCACCUCCAGUAACUUCUUCAAAGGAGAUGUAGUGUAAUCUUUGUUGUAGGUGUAGGUGUUGGAAUGGCCUCCCCCAUCACUGAGGCUAUCAGUGUUGUUUUUCUGGAGGGUGAUAGUGGCAGAGGCAGAAAGCAGAAGUGCACCACAAAAGGGAACCAGCUGCUCUCCCAUCCUACAGCAUGGUGAAAAAGAGUGAAGAACUGGUACCCUUCUGGACAUAGGCUUUAUUCCAAGUGCUGGGAAAGUGAGAGAAAAGCCCCUGAGAUGCAGAAGAGGGGGGAAGAAGGUCUGCAGGUGGGAUCUGGCCAGGAUUGGGUCCCAACACCACAGCAGUGCCAGGCCUGGGGCCACUGGUGUGUUCCGCAGCCACCCACCAGGGCUCUGUCUCAGCUGCGGGGACACUGUGCACUGGCAGCAUUUGAUGUAGUGACAGUGAAGACCUCAGGUGGAGCAGGAGUUCAGCAGCUACUGACAUGCAGGACCUCCAUUUGGAGAGGGCUGCCAUGGUCGGAGCCACAGGGAAUACAGCGCUGGCUUGUGGCAGCCACACAUGGAGGAGCAAUGGAUGACCCUGAUCUAGUGGUUGACAUCAUGACUUACAAGAACGACCUUCAGACAUGGAAAGGAUAGAAGAGUACCUCUCAGGGACCAUGGAGCUGGCAAGCACCCCAGGAUACUGGUGGUGGCCGUAGCAGCUUUGCUGUGGAUAAAUUCUCCUAUUUCCAAAGGGAAUUUGUGACCAUGUAUGAAAUGCCAAACAAUGUGCUAGCAAUCUUUUUGUAUGUAGAUAAGGCAUUUUAAUGCAAUACAGCUCAGCCUGCCUGCAGCAGACCAGACGUACUGACAAGGAUUAAUCGUCCAGCGCAAGACUUGGCAGAGUAACAAGCAGGGAGGACUCCUAACCAGGCAGCUGUUUGGGUCUUAUAUAAGCUGUCUAGACCAAACAUGAAGAAACGAAGCCAACCCUGGCAUCGGACUACCACUUCUGCACAGACAGUUUCCAACCUACAGCUUUCAUAUCUGAGCUUGUGCAAAGCAAGGGAGAAACAGAAGGAUGUUAACAGUCAAGCCAACUCUGCAUCAGAAAAAAGUCUGUGAGCAACUAUAAAAAUAAUGGAAAAGAACAGUAAUGAGUGAGAUUUACUACAGCUAGGAAAACAGUUGACAUUUUGCAUACAGAAAAUAUUGCGUUGCCAAGAACAUCUCCUCACAGUGAGCCCACAGGAGUCAGGUAGAGCUGGGGAACAUGGCUUAUGCUACAACAAAGGGGAGGAUGCUCCUGGCGGAAAGCAGCCUGGGAGAGAAGGUGCAACUUUUCCAAGUUCCUUGUGACUGUUCCAGUGGAAGAUCAAAUUCAUUCAAAGAGAAAAUAUAAUCAGAAAAGAGGCUGUUCUUGAAGUAUUUCACAUGGCAAAUAAGAAGAAAGGUCUGUGGCUGGGACAGGUGUGACCGUGAGGGACUGAAAACAACCAGGGCUGUCACCAGGGAGCAGCGGAGCAAGAUAUAUCCUGUUGGGCCCAGGAGAUACGAGCUGCUGAGCAGUGGGGUGCAGGAGGCCCUACCUUGGUGGCCAUGCAGAAGUGGGUUUGUCCCUGCCCAGCCCCAGAGGAGCUCUCCCAUGGAGGACUGCCUGCAGCCAUCCUGACAGUGAGAGCAGACUGUGCCCAGGGACUCUGGGGCUCUUUGGCUUUGUUUGUGGCACAGCUUCUAGGAAGCCCCUAUGAAAGACCAUCACGUUUGGGAAUGUCUGUAACCUGGUUUUUAAGUUACAAGGAUUGGUAUUUUCCCUGUACCCCUUGUCCUUAUUCCAAACCCUUCCUUUCUUGGCUAUAGCAGAUCUCAGCAUUGUGAUUUAUGGGCUCCAGAGGUGUCCCAAAAAGGGAAAAAAUAGCUGUGUUCAGACAGUGUGACAAAGAAAUUGGAGAGAUGGGGGGGGCUGGGGACUGACGGGUCACCUCAUAGGAAUGUCCUGCCUGUGGAGAUGCUGGAGCAGCCUCCUUCCCUUGCUCACAUGGUCAGAGCCUUGUACAAGCAUUUAGAGCUGAGUUGGAACCAUAGCAGAUACAUGACCUGUUUUCUGGACUGACAGAGGGUUUUCUACCCAGCUCCAGGUGUGGCUGUGAGAUGGCAAAAGACUGGGACAGCCCCACACAGCCACUUAACUGCAUUAAAGCAAGCAGGACUGAGUUUCCUGGCUACCAGCUGUGCCUCUGCUCAGGUCUCCGUCCUUGUGGCUGCCUACAGGCUUGCUCUUGCCCUGAAUGGCACACAGAACUCAUCCUAGCCCUGCACGCAUAGUGCUGUCCUGAGCACGUGCCAGCCCUGCUUCAGCCUCCCAUCUCCCUCUGUUCCCA
ensembl:lncRNA